CGUGACCACAUUUUCCUUGAAAACAAGGAAAAUAUUUUUCUUGGGGGAAGGUGGAUUUUAUUUUCCAUGGAAUUUAACCCUUCCAAAAAUUCUAGUUGGUAACCAACCACGUAAAUCUCUCUCUCUCUCUCAACUCUACCCACCCACGUCCAAAUCGCUGCCUCUCUCUCUCACAUAGAUUCUCAGCCAGCAAGCCGUCUCUCGUCCAUUCAACCGAGCAAUCAGCUUCUCUCACAUCCAUUCAACCGAAGCACGAAGAAGAAAUCGACCGAUCGUGUUUGAAGAAAUCGACGAGACGGUAACUGCAUAGAUUCAGGUUACUCUCACAAUAUUUGAUUUCUAUAUGUGUAAUUCUUAAUUAAACCGAGUACAAAGCGAACACGAAUUUUUUGGAAUUUGUUUUUGUUUUUUUGAUUUUGAGAUUCCAGAAUUUUUCUCCUCUUUAAUGACCCCCAAUUCUAUUUCUGUGAUGGGCUCUGCAAGGUUGAGGUGGAGGUGGAAAGAAAUUGGGUCUGCAAGGUGGAGGUGGAGCUGGACAUAAAUUGGGUUCGGGUUCUACAAGGUGGAGGUGGAGGUGGAAUCUUGCAAUUUUGUUGGCAUAUGUAUCAUUUAAGAUUUCCCAGAGUUAUGAAAUCUUUGUCUUUAUCUAUACUUGCAUUCGAAGACCUUGAAUGAAUUAAGCUUUCAAUGGUUGAGUUUCUUGAUUAAUUUAAAUGUAGUAUGAAUGAUGGGGGCUGUGGAAGUGGAGGCAGUUUGGGAAUAUCAAAAGAAGACAUCCCUGGUAUGAAGUUAUGAGGAAGGAAAUUCACAUGAUUGUUAACACUAAAUAAGCUUUGAUGAGGGUUUACCUAUCAAAUAACCAACGCAUUGCAGAAUGGUAGAUCAAAUCAAAGGAUAGAUCACUAUUAACUCAUUGAUCGCAUUGGGUCUGCUGGGUUUGUAUGGUAGGUUGCUGCUUACUCAUUAAGAAAGUAGCACAAUUUAGAAAACUUAGUUUAUGCUGAUUAAGUUGUUAAACAUGUAGGUUUAGGAUACGGGAAGCAAAGAUGAACCAUUAUUAAAUAGUGAUGCAGAAAGUGAUGAUUGUGAGUUAUAAGAAUAUGUAGUUAAUUCUAUUGGAGAUAUAUCAUUUUUGGUGGUUUUUACUAUAUCAUUUUUGCUUUUUUAAUAUAUGUUUUUUGCUGGUUUUUACUGUAUUACAUUCGAAGAGUAACUGGAAUCCAGUGGUAUUUAUAUCGAUGGUUUUGAGGGUAACAUCAAUUGAAUAGUUCCUCACACAUGUUAGUAGAAUCUCAGAAAUUGGUUGAGAUUUCUUUGCUAGAGUAGUGUUUGGAUUUUCAAUAAGAUAAUUGCCGGUAAGUUCUCACUGUUUGCCUAAUAUAGCACUUGGAUCCUGACUUCAAUUAUGUUGGUAUUAGGGUCAGCAUUUUGACUAUUUUGUAGCAAUUUCAUUUUUUCUGCUGUUUUCUAUCUAUUAGAACCAUUUAUCCUUCAUGUUACUUGCAUUUGAGGCUGCUUUCUUGGGUAUCUUCGUAGGAAAAAGAUUUUCAUAAAAGGAAUCUCUUUUUACUUGUUACCAUAUUUGAUGAAAUUUAAGUAAAAUUUGUCUCAAAUUCAUUACCAAAUUUUCAUUUUUGGACAACACUUCAGAGUUAAAGAUUCUGAUGCACAUUAUAUGUCUGUAGAUGUCUUUUGGUAUAGAUUUUACGCAUUCAACAGGGCAAAAAAUUAAGUGUCCUGGUCAACCACCUCCAAGAUUGAAUCAUCAACUGUUUUAAUUAUUAUUAGGUUUUUCAAAUAGCUAACUGGUUGGUUCGCUUGGGCCAUAUUCUAGCAAAUUCUUUUGAUGAUUUAUUUCAAUUUAAUUACUGGACUGCCAGAACCAAAUGAAAGUUUUGAUCUAGACCAGUACUAAAGGUGGUCUUUUAAAUAGUUAUUUGAUAUUGCCUCUGAUAAUGGCAAUGAAGGUAGUUCCUUUUAGUAUUUGGAGAAAAAAGGGUCUUUUGGGAACUUCAUUUCUCUAGACCUGGCAGCAUUGGUUGUUCGUAAAUUUAGGGAAAUGUUUGAGUUUUCAAUCGCGCCCUCACAUCCUACUAGUAGGAAUUUGUUCUUUAGUCUAGUAAUGCUGGAAUUUGUUCUUUAGUCUAGUAAUGCUGGAAUUUUAUUUAUUCCAAUCUAUCUCUAUGAAAAUUUUUCCUUUAUAUAUCGUAUCUACAAGUGACGUUGUGAUUAAUUAGUUUCAGAAUGUGUUAAUCGUUUAUUUGAAAUACCAUAAAGUUUUUUAUUUUUAUUUUUAUUUUUAUUUUUUGACUGUCCAGGAAGUAGAAACAAAUUCAAGAAACUAAACCCAGCUAGCGUUUUGAUUGGCUUGGGUGCGUGUAUCUACGGAUCUAUUACCAAUAUAAUGCACAAUAAAUUAACCGUUGUCCAUUGUGCAUAUUUUCCUGCAGCUACAGUUAACUUUUUAUUCUGUAAUGAUGUUAUGUUAUUCUUUAUAAACAAAUUUUUAUUGGAUUUUUGUUUACCGUGGUAGUUUAUAACAUGGCUUCAACAACGAAUCAACGUCGAUGCCGACGACAACAUUUAUGUUUAUUUUGGACAAUGGUCAUACAAGCGAUUGUGAUAUAUAACGAAGUUAGGCGUCGUGCACGACAUCUUCCAAGAGCUCCUCAUACAAAUUGGAAUUCUGAAAGAGAAAUAACACUUACACGAAUGUUUGGCACGAGUGAUACAAUAUGUCGUGAUCUCCUUAGGAUGAAAAUAGGUCCAUUUCAAAGAUUAUGUGCUCGUUUGCGAACUUAUGGAUUGGUUGACAGUAAAUACGUUCGAAUUGAGGAACAAGUAGCAAUUUUUCUGAAUACAGUAGGGCAUGACCAACGUAAUCGCGCUGGACGUUUUACUUUCUUUCACUCUGGUCAAACAGUGAGCUUUUACUUUCACAGAGUCUUACACGCUUGUCUUGGACUGUAUAGAGAUGUUGUGAUUAAUGCCACUCCUCAUAAUUCACCAUACGAAAAAAAAAUGUGCAGCCGUGGUACUCCUUUUUUCAGGUUAGUGGUUUGUAGAUAUUUCAUCAUAUUUUUUAAAACUUCAAUAUUCACAUUUAUUUUGAAAAGUAUUAUUUUUUAAAGGAUGCCGUAGGAGCAAUCGAUGGUACACAUAUAGCUGCGUAUGUGUCUUUAGAGGAGCAAGGUAAGUAUCGCAAUAGAAAGCAAGUGAUUUCCCAAAAUGUUUUAGUAGCUUGCACAUUUGAUAUGAAAUUUACGUACAUGCUUGCCGGUUGGGAGGGAUCUGCACAUGAUGGUCGAUUGUUACGGAGUGCAAUAUUACGCCAAGGACAUAAGCUAACAAUUCCUGUUGGUAAGUUCUGUCACUAUUUUGAAAACAUUUCUUCCACACAUAAGUUAUAAUAAUUACCUAACUACCAUCGUAUGAACGACUCUUUCCUAGGUAAAUAUUACCUUGUUGACGCUGGCUUCCCAUCGGUUUUGGGUUUUCUUGCACCAUACCGUAGGACUCGUUAUCAUCGUAGAGACAUUGAAGGUCAACGUCCUGAAAAUAGUAAGGAGUUGUUCAAUUUUCGACAUUCAUCUCUACGUAAUGUUAUUGAGCGUACAAUUGGGUUGCUAAAAAAAAGAUUUGCAUAUUUGAGACAUCAACCCUAUCACGACAUUGACACACAAGCAAAGAUAGUCCUUGCCUGUUCUGCCAUCCACAACUUCUUAAGGAUUGAUGACGUUGAAGAUGUUUGUGAGGAGGACGACUUAGAUAGUAGUGAUGAUGAGGUUAACCCUACGCAUGUUGAUGUACCUGAAGAUGAAACUCCAAAUGCUCACAUAUCUUUCACAAAUCAGAAAGUGUGGUCUAAUAAGAGGAAUGCGAUUGCUGAUUUAAUGUGGGCUGAUUAUCUUCCCAAUCAGAAUGCGGGAAUUGAUUUCGAUUGAAAUCUUGUCUUUUUUUCUAUGUAUUGGAUAUAAACUUACUAGACUUUCAUAUGUAGUAAUUGAUUGAAUUGAAGACGUAUUGACAUUAAGCAUAUUUUUUAUUUUUUUUUUCCCAUGUCCUGUAAUAGUUGACAUAAGAUUGCUAGAAUUUUAAAUAUUGUAAUUGGAAUUGUUGUUAUUGGAGACAUUGUUGACAUGCAAUUUUCUUAAAUGUUCUUAUUUAUUGGUUGACCGUGAACAGUUAAUCUUGCACUAUACAAUUCAUGGCAAAUAUUCGACAAAGCUCUGCGGCACCUUUUCGAGUUCCUAGACCAACCCUUCAUUCAGAUGUGGAGGAAAUAAGCUCAACCCAAGCGGAUCCUAAUUCUAGGAAUCGUCAAAUACGUUGGAGUGAUGCAAUGGACGGUUGUAUGAUAACUGCACUAUUACAUCAAGUGUUGUCUAGUCACAAAAGAAGUGACAAUGGCUUUUCAUCAUUUCACGUGUCCAAAGCAAUCGAGAGCGUGCACAAUGGAUGCUGAGUGAUGGUGUCUGAUAAGAAUGUGAGGGCGCGAUUGAAAACUCUAAAAAAAGAAUAUGUUGAAGUUCGUCAGUUGUUAAGCAUGAGUGGUUUUGGGUUAGAUCCUCACACUGGACGUGUCACAGCCGAUGUAUUAGCUUGGGAGGAGUUGUUGAAGGUAUAAAAUUUCAUUGACCAAUAUUACUAAUAUAAUUUAUGGUGUCCCCUAAGUAGCGUAAAACAUAUUUCACUCUUUUUCUUGUAGGGCAAAUCAGAAUUUGGAAAGUGGAGGACCAAACUUUGUUCUCGUUAUGAUGAUUUGGAGGCUAUUUUUGGAAAUGAUUCUGCUACAGGAGAUCGUGCUGUAACCGGCAAUGACAUUUUAUCCCCCGAUCAUGGUACGUACUAGAUCAGACAUAAAAAUUUAUAUAAUUCGUAUUAUAUUAGAGAUUCUAACAAUUUCUUAUUUUACUAUUUUUUAGAUGAAACUGUGCAUGAAAUUGAUGGUCAAAAUGAGGAUGCGGAUCCAAGCCCCAUUCGGGCUCCUAAGCGUAAUGCCGAAGGAGGAACUAACAAAGUUCGCCGUCGACGUACCCAACCUAAUGAUGAGAGUCUCGUUGCACUAUCAAGCAUUGCCGAAUCAUCCAAAAAAAUUGCUAUCGCUAUGGAGACUCAAGCAACAUUAGAUACGCUAAACCACAUCAAUUGGCAGUUGGUUCUAGAAAAAUUACAAGGCAUGCGUAUAGAAAAGCGUGACAUAAUGCAAGUAAUGAAAAUAUUUCGAUCGGAUGAGAGUCUGGCUAGAAUAUUUAUGAGUUUGACUGAUGAAGAAUUCAUGCGUGAUUUAGUAUUUGAGAAUCUGGGCCGUGAUCCGCCUCCACUAUUUUAAGAUAACUUGGUUGGAUAAUUUAACAAACAUGUGAAAGUACGACAUCUAUGUUGAUUUUAUUUGCUAUUUUCUUAUGAUACAGAUUUUUUGGGUUUUUUCAUUUUUGUUUUAUGUAAUACAUUGG
rnacentral:lncRNA from 1 species